rnacentral:SRP_RNA from 1 species
GCUGGGUGUGGUGGCGUAUGCCUGUAGUCCCAGCUACUUGGGAGGCUGAGAUGGGAGGAUUGCUUAAGCCCAGGAGGCGGAGGUUGCAGUGAGAGAUCACACCACUGCACUCCCGCCUGGGCAACAGAGCAAGACCCCGUCUCAU